rnacentral:tRNA from 1 species
UGGGACGUAGCUCAGCUGCAGAGCGCCUGCCUCGCGUGCACAAGGCCCUGGGUUCCAUCUCCAGCGUCCCAA